rnacentral:rRNA from 1 species
UACAGAGGGUGCGAGCGUUGUCCGGAAUCACUGGGCGUAAAGGGCGCGUAGGCGGCCUGGGAAGUAGGGGGUGAAAUCCUGCGGCUCAACCGCAGGGCUGCCUCCUAAACUGUCAGGCUGGAGCACGGUAGAGGCAGAUGGAAUUCCCGGUGUAGCGGUGGAAUGCGUAGAGAUCGGGAAGAACACCAGUGGCGAAGGCGGUCUGCUGGGCCGUUGCUGACGCUGAGGCGCGACAGCGUGGGGAGCAAACAGG